UACCGGAUCUUGUGAAUCCGCAACCCGCUCCGAUACCGACUGCUGUGGAUCCGGUAUCGAUUGUUGGGAUUCCGCAACGGAAACGUCAAAUCGGGUUUUUACCAUAAACCCGUCUCCUCAGCAAAAGCUGAUACAAUCAUAAAAGAGAAAAAUAUGCAGGUAAAAUAAGAUUCAUUAAAUAAGAGAAGAUUAUACCUGACUCCUCUUCUGCACAGAGUAGCUACAACCCGAGCCCUCUUUCUUGAAUCUCUUCUACCCUUCUUUCGUCUUCUAUAAACCCACAAAGAAGACCUCUCCGCGUGCACCCGUGCACAAGGUGCACUAAAAUAACUCUCUCUCUCUCUUUUUCUCUCUCUGGUACGACACCCUAAUGGUUCCAGCCGUACUUCACCCAAAAAAGAGAGCCACAAUGCCUAUUUAUAAUGCUCAACUUAAAACGUACCCCAAUCCCAAUAUAUUUAGGAUUCAUACUUUAAUUAAUAUCUAAAUUUAUCUUAAUCAAUCUCUAAUAGAUUUAAAUAUUAAUCCUAAUCUAGUUAGGUUUAU
rnacentral:lncRNA from 1 species